CCUGCCUUCCAGAGCUUUGCACCCAGGCUAACGCCUAACACAGGCCUCCCAAGCGGCAGGAGGAAGGCUAAGAAAGGAAGGACAUUCUGACAGGUGCCACAAGAUGGAUGAACCUUAAGGACAUUGUGCUAACUGAAACAAGCCAGUCACAAAAAGACAAAUACUGAUUGCAGCAGGAGAGGACUACAGAUAGCAUGGGAUUGGAGGAAGAACUCUGGCCCUGGAGACAGCAUCAUCAAGCAGUAGCUUCAUCUUUGCGAGCUGGGGCCUUGACAGAAGCUUUCUCCUCCUCUAUACAGGCUGAGCCUGUCUCAACCCGACCCCCCACCUGCACCCCAGUCCUUUGGGGUCACCUUAAGGCUUUGGCUGAUGCUUCUUUGCUGAUGUCAACCAAGGUGAUGGACCUGUUUGUCCUCAUAAAGUAACUCUCAAACGGGCAUGCACUUCUU